UCGAAAGGCCCGUGACCUGCCUCUUAAGAGCAGAGUGGUAAUUUAAUGAGAAGACCAAGUUUUAUCUCCAAACCGCAACUCCUUCUUUAGAUGAAGUGAGUUACAUCAAGAAAGGGACAAAAAGAACUUGAGCUGGAUUCAUGAAAACCAAGGCUGUUCGGAUUGCUUUUCAGCAGAAUCCAACGUGGAGACAGCUGGAAAAACAGAAAUGUGGUUUACAGGAUCUCAGCUCUACCAUCAGAAAGUGUCAUGUAGAAGUCUGGGUUUGGAGCUAAAAGACAAUAGGUUAAUAACUGACACAAUCUCUGAGAUGUUUUUGAGAUUUAAUAUGCCAUUUGUCUGUCUCUUAGACCUGCACAGGGUAAUACCUGAGUAAGAAUCUUAUGGUUUGUUUUUGUUUUUUAAUGUACUUUGAUUCAGAGAGUAAAUAACUUGUUUCAUAUUCUUGAUCUACUUCAUUGCCUUAUUUGACUUAAUGAGUGUCCUUGCUUUGGUCCUGUUCUUUUGUUCUUGUUGUAUUUUUUUUUUUCUAUAAGAGUUAAAGAUAAUCCCAUUAUUCUAAUAGAGAUUUUUAUUAAGUAAGGGCUUUUGGUUUACCUAAAAUAGUGUAAUUAUCUUGAUUCCAAAUUAGAACACUUAAUAUAUUAUUCCAAGUUACUCUUUCAAAUGGUGGAAUUUUAAAUGUUUCCACACAUUAAAUUUUACAUAGUUUUAUUACUUUUUCUUUGAAUAAUGAAUCUUAGUUUUAAAAAUAUUCUUCAGACUAUGGGGUAUUUAACUGGCCCUCUGUUAGAACAGCUUUAUUUUUAGUCUAAGCUACUGCCGAACUUCCAAACUUGGUUAAACAUUCUUAUCAUUCCUUUUUUAAUAUGGCUUAAUAUGCUAGUCUUUAACAUGAACACAUUAUUUGCUCACAAGGAGUUCUCAUGAAAGUAGACUUUAUAUAAAUUGUGAUAUUAAACUUUCAAUAGGAAAUGGUCAAGUAGAGAGUAUUAACAAUGAAGUGUUCAAAAGAGCAAUGGUGGUUUAAUUACCUGAAAUGUACUUAAAAAUGUCUGUCGACAUAAAGUAACAUGAAAAUGUAAUUAGUCACUUGUGUUUAUCAAUUAAAACUUUAUUAUAAAGAAUAAUCUAUGAAAAAGU